rnacentral:rRNA from 1 species
AUGGAUGGGAGUAACCCAGCUUGGCGAAUUACAGGAUUCUAUGGAGAACCGAGUUGGGAGAGGAAACAUUUCUCUUGGACGUACUUGCGCAAUAUCCAUGCUAAUAGUGUUGGGCCAUGGGUUGUCCUCGGCGAUUUCAACGAAAUUACUACCACGAGUGAGAAGGAAGGAGGCAAUAUCCGACCGGAUCAGUAUAUGCGAGACUUCAGAGAUUGCAUCGACGACUGUGGGUUGCAUGAAGUCAUGUUCAUUGGUGACACCUUUACAUGGAGCCGAGGUGACAUUCGGGAGCGUCUUGAUAGGGCCUUGUGUAAUGAUGCCUGGGCUGAGAAAUUUCCCCAUGCAGCGCUGGUGCACGAACAUCAUAUUCAUUCGGAUCACAGACCUAUUUUGCUUGAUACCGAUUAUUUCAAGGCCUCAUUGGAACAACAACCAAGGAGUAAGCGCAAGUUUGAAGCUCGCUGGCUCAAUGAAGUGACAGUUAAUGAGAUUGUUAAAUCGGCUUGGGAACGUGCAAAGCUAGCCGGCCUAGGGCCAUCUCUAUCUGAUCGCUCAAAGGCGGUCCUUAGUGACAUGCAUGAUUGGGAUCGGGAGAUCCUAAAGAGCCCACAGAAGAGGAUCAAUAAGCUCAAAAAGGACUUGGAAAAAUUAAGGCGUGGCCCAAACACUUCUGAAGCAUGCCAAAAAAUGAAAGACAUGCAGGUCCUUAUCGAGAACUUGUUGGAUCAGGAGGAACUAAUUUGGCUGCAGUUGGGUCACGCCAAUUGGUUACUCCAUGGUGAUCGUAACACGGCUUUCUUCCAUAGAGCAGUUUCUGCCCGAAAAAAGAGAAACUGUAUAAAAAAGCUCCUCGAUGAUACAGGAGUACGGAAGGAAGAUGUGGAUGACUUGAAUUCUAUCAUAUCUGGGUAA